rnacentral:misc_RNA from 1 species
AAGUCGUAACAAGGUUUUGACCCUUCUAGAUAGGAAUACCAAUCUACAGGAACCUUUUGUAUUCAACGACUAUAAACAAUGAGUCUGGAAAUCUUUCUGAAUCUCCAGGCAACACCAGUGCAUUGUUCUGGGAGAAUAAUUAAUUAAAUAAUUCUACCAGCAGCUGCGAAAAGCAGUCCACAGAUUAAGCACUUGGGUGGUUCGAAAUUGAAUUUAAAAUAAAAAAAUUGAUUUUGAAUUAAAAUAUAAUCGAGACUCACUGUGAAGAACAGUUCUACGAGAUUAAUCGCCGUAGGUGAACCUGCGGAAGGAUCAUUAAAAGAGAAUCAUCUUGGGUAAAACCAAGUAUGAAUCCCAACCCUUGUUUAUACAAAAAACAAAAUUGUUGCUUCGGCGAAUGAUUUAUUUCGUCGCCAGAAGAACCAAACCAAACUAUUAUUAAAAAACAAUUGUCUGAAUCAAUAUUUGAAUUCGAGUAAAAUCGAAUAAUCAAUUUAUUUACAA